rnacentral:rRNA from 1 species
UACAGAGGUCCCAAGCGUUGUUCGGAUUCACUGGGCGUAAAGGGUGCGUAGGUGGCGGGGAAAGUUUGAUGUGAAAUCUCCGAGCUUAACUCGGAAACUGCAUUGAAAACUACUCUGCUUGAGGGUUGGAGGGGGGACUGGAAUUCUCGGUGUAGCGGUGAAAUGCGUAGAUAUCGAGAGGAACACCAGUGGCGAAGGCGAGUCCCUGGACAACUCCUGACACUGAGGCACGAAAGCUAGGGGAGCAAACAGG